ensembl:lncRNA
AUGCUUAUAAGAAAUAUUUUUAUAAAAAAAAAUUAUUUUUUUAAUAUUGUUAAACAUAACCAAUUAAAACAAAGUGGAAGACACAAAUUAAUAAAAAAAGUAUAUUAUUCUAGUAAAAAAAACACAAUUACUGAUGAAAAAAAGAAUAAGGUAAAGAAUAAAUCUUAUGAAAACGUGGAUACAUAUAGUAAAGGGAAGGACAAGGGUGAGAGAAAGCUCGAUGAUAAUCACAAGCGGAGUGGCAAUAACGGCGGAAAUAAAGGCGGAAAUAAUGGCGGAAAUAAUGGCAGAAAUAAUGGAAGAAAUAAGGGCGAAAAAAACGGCGGAAAUAACGGCGACAAUAAUGGAAGCAAUAAUGGAAGCAAUAGCAAGGACAAAACAUGUGUACCUGAAGAAGUAACAGAUUUUCUGAAAAUGAAUAAUAAAAAUGAAAAGGGAUAUAUUAGUAAUUUAGUUUUAACAAUUUUAACUGGUGAACACAACAAAGAGACUAAAAAUAUUUAUAUAAACGAAAUCAAAGCAAUGAUAAAUCAGUUAUUAACAGAAAAUAAUAAAUUUGAUAAAAUAAAUAAAAAAAAAAAUAUAUUAUUUGUUGAUAUAUUUUUAGUAAUAUAUUUAUGUUAUAAAGAACAGAUUUAUGAUUUGAUUUUUUUAAAAAAUUUAAACUCAUUAUUUGAUAUUUUAUUAUUAAAUAAUGACAAAAAAUUAAAAAUAUUAUUAAAUGAAAAAAAUAUAAAUUAUUUUUUAAUGAUAUUUUAUUAUUUUUCAUUUUUAAAUAUUAAAAACAUAACUCUAUAUAAUAGUAUUAAAGAAUAUAUAAUAAAUAAUGUAACUGAGCCAAUAAUUAUAUAUAAAUAUAUCGAAUGUUUGAACCUUUUAAAAAACGCAGAUGAUAAUGUACAUACUAUGACCAAUAGUAAUAAAAAUAUAAAUUACCAUAUUUAUCCUAUUAUUCAAUUAAUAACUGAAGAGUUUGAUCAUUUUAAUAAUUUUUUUUUAAUUAACAUUUUAAAUUUUUUACAUAAUUUAAAUUUUAUUGAUAAAAGUUUAUUUUCCUUUUUGACUAAAAAAAUUAAUCAAAAUAUAUACAACGAAAAAGCAAAUCUUUUCGAGUUAUGUAUGUUAUCACAUAUAUACGCUUUAUAUAAAAAAGAAAACAUAACAUUUAAUAAAUAUUUGUAUGAAGAUUUGAUGAUUAAUAUAACAAAAUGGGAAGAUAAUUAUAAAAGUUAUGAGGGGGUAGGUAACAUAAAUGAUAUAAGUAAUAAUUUGAAUAAAAGUACAAUGGAGCAAAAAACAUUCUACAAAAAAAAUCAAUCAAUAAAAAAUACUGACAAAAAUGAGCUAUUCACGGAGGUUGGUAAAAAUGAAUUAAUAAAGGAAGGGGAAAAAUUGAAUGAAAAAAAAAUAUUAAAAGGAUCAGAUAACUCUUUAUAUACAGAACAUGAUCCUACGUAUAGCGAUGAAAUAUAUAUAGACGAAAUUGAAAACAUAAAUAGAAACAAUUACAAAUUUUUUCGAAAUCGUUUAUAUGUUGAUGGUUUAAAUUUUUAUUCUUUUUUUGUAAACUAUAAUACUACAAAUAAAAAAAAUAUAAAAUUAGUACAAAAACUUGAUAUUAAUAUUAUUACACCUUUAAAAGAAGAUAAACAAAAAAAUUGUAAGUUUAAUAACUCAGAAACUUUAACUUGGUAUAAGUUAUUUAUAGAAGAUGAUUAUAAAAAAAAAAAUAUAAAAAAUGAAAAACUUGUUUCUAAUGAUAUAAAUACAAAUAAUGAGAUUGAAUUAAUAAAUUUGUAUAAUAAUUUUAUGAAGGAAAAUUUACAUUAUGACUUUUCUCUUAAGAAUCUUAUAAAAAUUGCUAAAGAGUUAAACCAAGAGUUAGACAAUACAUACAUAAAUGUAGAUUAUAAUUUGAAUGUCGUAACUAAAGAUACUAAUAGUGAUAAUGUCAGUAAUAACGUCAGUGAUAAUGUCAAUGAUAAUGUCAAUGAUAAUGUCUAUGAUAAUGUCAGUAAUUGUAAUACAAAAGUUAAUACUGAAAAUGUCGAAAAUGUCGAAAAUGCUGAAAAUGUCGAAAAUGUCGAAAAUACUGAAAAUACUGAAAAUGUCGAAAAUGCUGAAAAUGUCGAAAUAUACGAAUACAAAAAAAAAUUAUUAUUUAUUAAUAAAUAUUAUAUAGGACAUAUAUUUUAUAUAAUAGAUAAUAUGUUAUCAUUAAAUGUACAUCAUAAUAUGCAUAAUAUAAAUAUAUUACAUAAUCGAAUUUUAAAUAUUAUUAAAUAUAAUGAAAAUUAUAUAAUAAAUAAUUUUGAUAGUAUUGAAAUAAAAAAUGUUUUAAUUUUUUUAUUACAUAGUAAUAAUACCGAUUAUAAAAAAAAUUUUAUUUAUAAUCUUAGUCAUAGAAUAGUUGACUUAUAUAUUAAUAAUCUUUGUACAGCUAAAACACUAGCAACCUUUUUUUCUACAUUAUUAAAAUUUACCAAACAAAAAACAAUUAAAAAAAAUAGAUUUAAUCAUACCAUUAGAAAUGUUAUAUAUAAUAGUUAUUUGUGGUUAAACGAUAAUAAACAAAUGAGUGAUGAAAAAGGAAGUGUGUAUACUAAUAAUAAUUUAGAAAAAAAUCAAACAAACAAUGUAUAUAAUCAUAUUAAAGUUAAAAGAUAUACUCUUUUACAGCUAUUAUCUAUAUAUAUAUGCAAACAUGUAUAUUUUAUGAAUAUAUCUACUCUUACUUUAUUAUUGAGAUCUUUGUCUUAUUUAUCAUUUAAUAAUGUCAGCUUUUAUAAUGUUUUUAUACCAUUAUUUAUGAAGCAUAUGGACAUUCUGGAAAAUGUGGAUAUCCUAAACAUAACACAUGUAAUAAAUUCAAUGCACAUGUUUGAGAUAUAA